AUAGAGACUAGAGUCUCACCUUGACACAACUCAUUGUCUUGGUGUGCUAGAGUCCUCUUAGAUUAAAGUCUGAUCCUAUUCACUGACUUGCUCUUUGUUGACCUGUCAGCCACAUGAUCAGUGACAAAG